rnacentral:rRNA from 1 species
UUGUCCAUGGAUCACGGACUAAAGAUUACAGUUUGGAAUGUUCGAGGGCUUAACUCGCGCGCCCGGCGUCGUGCCAUACGAUCUCUGCUGGACACCACCGGCGCCGCCAUUGUAUGCCUACAAGAAACUAAGAUGGCUUUGAUCUACUCGCCCAUCGUGCUUGACAUCCUCGGUUCCGAGUUCGAUGACUACGCUUACCUCCCGGCUGUUGGCACGCGAGGCGGCAUCCUCAUCGCUUGGAAGAGCAGAGUCGUCUCGAUCUCCGACCCCCUGCUGACCCAGAACGCGCUCACGGCCAAGGUGACCAUGGCCUCCGGGACACCGUGGUGGCUUACGACGGUCUACGGCCCCCAGGAAGACGCUGAUAAGAUCCUGUUCCUCCAGGAGCUGCGUGACAUACGUGCGGCAUGCCCCAGCCCAUGGAUGCUCUGUGGCGAUUUCAACCUCAUUCUCUGGGACGAGGACAAAAACAUGGGUGGCCUGCACCGACGCAUGAUGGGAAGGUUUCGCCGCGUCAUCAACGACCUCGCCUUAAAGGAGGUCUAUCUCAAUGGGCGCCGCUUCACGUGGUCGAACGAGCAGUCGCCGCCCAUGCUGGUGCACCUGGACCGCGUCUUCCGCACCUCGGAUUGGGAAGAUGCGCACGGCGAGUGCCACCUCCGAUGUCUCGCUUCGGUCGUGUCGGACCACUGUUCGUUGUUGCUGGAUUGCUCCCCCAUGCCGACGGCUCGCAAGCGCUUCCACUUCGAGGACUAUUGGCUUCGGCUGGACGGCUUCCACGACACCGUUGCCACGGCCUGGAGCUCGGUGCACGACGACGACCCCUUCCGGAGGCUGGUCAAGCGCCUUCAGGCCACUGCCCGCCGCCUAUCCAGCUGGAGCGCCAAGUCCACGGGCAACAUCCGGGAGAAGCUUGUC